GCCUACAGAUAGGACAGAGCAUUGAGCAUGAUGUCCCCUACUCCUUCCACCUGAGGGAAGGAACUAGGAAUAGGGGCACUUCCAACUGCACCAUGCCAAUCAGAAGAUGAUACAGAUGCAGUCAGUUUCUGCCCAGUCCAGGACCAGGUUCACUGAGCCAACACCACCAGAAGUUUCUUCCUCCAAGUUCAACACAAAGAGAACAGACCUUCUGCCUUCAAAC
rnacentral:lncRNA from 1 species